rnacentral:rRNA from 1 species
ACCGGCCACAUUGGGACUGAGAUACGGCCCAGACUCCUACGGGAGGCAGCAGUGGGGAAUAUUGCACAAUGGGCGCAAGCCUGAUGCAGCGACGCCGCGUGCGGGAUGACGGCCUUCGGGUUGUAAACCGCUUUUGAUCGGGAGCAAGCCUUCGGGUGAGUGUACCUUUCGAAUAAGCACCGGCUAACUACGUGCCAGCAGCCGCGGUAAUACGUAGGGUGCAAGCGUUAUCCGGAAUUAUUGGGCGUAAAGGGCUCGUAGGCGGUUCGUCGCGUCCGGUGUGAAAGUCCAUCGCUUAACGGUGGAUCUGCGCCGGGUACGGGCGGGCUGGAGUGCGGUAGGGGAGACUGGAAUUCCCGGUGUAACGGUGGAAUGUGUAGAUAUCGGGAAGAACACCAAUGGCGAAGGCAGGUCUCUGGGCCGUUACUGACGCUGAGGAGCGAAAGCGUGGGGAGCGAACAGGAUUAGAUACCCUGGUAGUCCACGCCGUAAACGGUGGAUGCUGGAUGUGGGGCCCGUUCCACGGGUUCCGUGUCGGAGCUAACGCGUUAAGCAUCCCGCCUGGGGAGUACGGCCGCAAGGCUAAAACUCAAAGAAAUUGACGGGGGCCCGCACAAGCGGCGGAGCAUGCGGAUUAAUUCGAUGCAACGCGAAGAACCUUACCUGGGCUUGACAUGUUCCCGACAGCCGUAGAGAUACGGCCUCCCUUCGGGGCGGGUUCACAGGUGGUGCAUGGUCGUCGUCAGCUCGUGUCGUGAGAUGUUGGGUUAAGUCCCGCAACGAGCGCAACCCUCGCCCUGUGUUGCCAGCACGUCAUGGUGGGAACUCACGGGGGACCGCCGGGGUCAACUCGGAGGAAGGUGGGGAUGACGUCAGAUCAUCAUGCCCCUUACGUCCAGGGCUUCACGCAUGCUACAAUGGCCGGUACAACGGGAUGCGACACGGCGACGUGGAGCGGAUCCCUGAAAACCGGUCUCAGUUCGGAUUGGAGUCUGCAACCCGACUCCAUGAAGGCGGAGUCGCUAGUAAUCGCGGAUCAGCAACGCCGCGGUGAAUGCGUUCCCGGGCCUUGUACACACCGCCCGUCAAGUCAUGAAAGUGGGUAGCACCCGAAGCCGGUGGCCUAACCCUUCGUGGGAUGGAGCCGUCUAAGGUGAGACUCGUGAUUGGGACUAAGUCGUAACAAGGUAGCCGUACCGGAAGGUGCGGCUG